ACGCUCGACACCUACGGGAUGCAGCAGUGGGGAAUAUUGCACAAUGGGGGAAACCCUGAUGCAGCGACGCCGCGUGAAGGAUGAAGUAUUUCGGUAUGUAAACUUCUAUCAGCAGGGAAGAAAAUGACGGUACCUGACUAAGAAGCCCCGGCUAACUACGUGCUAGCAGCCGCGGUAAUCUGAGCGGGCUGGCAAGGC
rnacentral:rRNA from 1 species